rnacentral:piRNA from 1 species
UGGAAAUUAUACAUGUCAAAU